UAUCCUGUUUGGGCUCUAUGGAACAUUUAUUGAACAUAAUUCCUAAAGAAAUGCUGUUAGAAUAUUAUUGAAAUAAAGAGAGAUUCCCAUAUAUGUAUCUCUUUGUUAUAUCUCAUAUUUCAAUGUUGGAUCACAUAUCUCAAUGUUAUAUCACAUAUCACAAUGUUGUAUCAAAUAUCUGAAUGUAACGUAAUUUUAAUCAUGACAUUUGUUUAUAUGCACAUGAAAACAUGUGACUUGACGAGAUUUGAACUUGCACCUUCAGGAUACUAGUGGUCCUGAUCCAAAAUGUCCCGAAGAUCAGGAAAAGGUGAGCAAGAAUGAGGUUUUCUCGGAUGCCUUCUACCAAGCGUGAAAUAAAAGAUUCAAUUACAUUGUCUCUCUGAACAGUGCAAAUGGUUUGUGCUUCACGAAGAAUUGGAAGUGAGUUAAGUUUAUCGAAAGAUUGUUGUCUUAUUAAGUUUCUUUUUGUCAGGGUCAUUAUGAAGUUUGUGAGCAUGCGCUCAUCAGCUGUAUACACAAGCAAUGUAACAUUCAGUUACCUCUGCUUUCUCCCUUGGCGAACAUUUGAAGAAUGAUUGUGAAUAUCGAAAUGUGAAAUGUGAAUAUUGUGGUAAAGAUGUCCUGUAUGCUUCACUUAAGGAUCAUAAAGAAAAUGUGUGUGAAAAUGCACUCGUCACUUGUAAAUAUUGCAAUCAAAUGAUACCAAGGAAGGAUAUUGAGCACCAUGAAAGUACAAUUUGUGAUGAAGUGCCCACUAAUUGUGAAUUUCAAGCUAUUGGAUGCAGUCAUGACAAAACUUUAAAACGAAAGGAGAUCCGUCAACAUAUGAAUGACAAUCUAAUUCAUCAUGUGAUCGCCUUGUUACGAUAUGUUAUGGCAUUUGUUACACAGUUAAGUAACUCUGUACCACGUCCAGAGUUUACUACUGCAGUUCAAAACCUGGGCGACCGAAUCACUGCUGUUCGUGCCAAUCUUUCAGACAAAUUUUUCAUCUUAGUUGGAAAACUUACAGGCUUAGAAAGGAGAAUUGAGAGUCUUGAGGAUCGUUAUGGGAACAA